rnacentral:rRNA from 1 species
GACGUAGGAGGCGAGCGUUAUCCGGAUUCACUGGGCGUAAAGCGCAUGUAGGCGGCUCGAUAAGUCGUGUGUUAAAGCCCCUGGCUCAACUGGGGGAGGUCAUGCGAGACUAUCGGACUUGAGGGCAGUAGAGGCACGUGGAACUCCCGGUGUAGCGGUGGAAUGCGUAGAGAUCGGGAAGAACACCCGUGGCGAAGGCGACGUGCUGGGCUGCAACUGACGCUGAGACGCGAAAGCGUGGGGAGCGAACAGG